UGCACCAUGGUCUGGGCUGCUCUCCUGCUCACGCUCCUCUUUCACUGCACAGGGUCCCUCUCCCAGCCUGUGCUGAUUCAGGAGCCCUCAGUCUCAGCAUCUCCUGGAUCAACAGCCAAACUCACCUGCACCCUGAAGAGUGGUAUCAGUGUUGGCAGCUAUAGAAUAUUCUGGUACCAACAGAAGACUGGGAACUCUCCCAGGUUUCUCCUUAGUUAUUACACAAGUACAAAUUUGGGAUCCGGAGUUUCCAAUCGCUUCUCUGGAUCAAAAGACACCUCAGCCAAUGCGGGACUCCUGCACAUCUCUGGGCUGCAGCCUGAAGAUGAGGCUGUCUAUUACUGUAUGAUUGAUUACAGUGGUUCUAAUCACAGUGACACAGGCAGAAAUGCCUCUAAUGAUGCACCUGACUGCGAUUCGAGAUGCAACUUACCUCCUUGUAAAUCAAGGGAUCACUUCUCAGAAUGUGGUGACUCAAGAACCAUGACUAGUCACAACUGCUGGAGACACAGUUACAUUCACCUGUGGCUUCAGUACUGGGGUUAUCUUUUUCAGGUACUGAAGAAUUUCCGCAAAGAGAUCAUCUGGCCUUUCUUUUCAGGCACCGAAGUUUCAGUUGUGAAAUAA